UACGUAGGGUCCGAGCGUUGUCCGGAAUUACUGGGCGUAAAGAGCUCGUAGGUGGUUUGUCGCGUUGUUCGUGAAAACUCACAGCUUAACUGUGGGCGUGCGGGCGAUACGGGCAGACUUGAGUACUGCAGGGGAGACUGGAAUUCCUGGUGUAGCGGUGGAAUGCGCAGAUAUCAGGAGGAACACCGGUGGCGAAGGCGGGUCUCUGGGCAACAACUGACGCUGAGGUGCGAAAGCGUGGGGGAGCAAACAGG
rnacentral:rRNA from 1 species